UGGAUCAUGACACAUAGAAAAAAGGGAAACAAGGAACGAAAAGGACUCGCGAGUGACGCGAUUCAUGUCCCGAUUCGCUCCAUCUAUCGGUGGACGCUUGAUUCGCUACUAGUGGCGCCGAGACUUGCGUCGAUUAAUUCAUGUGCCGUUGACACGUCGUUCGCUCGUCCGAGAAAUCCGUCCAUUCAGAUCAUCAGCGACGCAUUCUUGCACCUGCCGCCGGCCACGCCACGGUACCCCAGCGCCGAGCCCCUCCGCCUCUGGCCCUCUGCCGCUGCCUCCACCCCCAGCGUCGCCUCCGUCCCCCCAGAGCCGUCACGCUCUCCGCCGCGUCUGCCGCCUCAGCCCCGCCGCGCCCUCCGCCGCCCUUCCCUUACUCCCGUUGUUCCUCCUCUACCAACGGAUUAAGGUGCUGAUUUCCGUUAUCGUUGGUUCCUUUGCUUUUAGGAUGCACUAUUGUGGCCUGGAUAUUCUCCUGAUUGUGUUUCUUGAUAUCACGCAUUGAGGUUUAUUAUGGAGAUCUGAAGUAAUCUUUCCUCUUUAUUUUUCCUGAUGUAAAUUGGACUUGCAAAUUUUUAAUGAACAAUAUACAUGCAUCCAAUCGACCAGCAAAAGUUCUAUCAUUAUAACAUCUUCAGACAGAGGGCUUUAGUGUGCUUGUUUUAAUGAGUUCUAUCAGAAAACAUGUCAUGUAACUGAACUUGGUUAACAAAUUGAUCUGCAAUGAUCUGCAAUGCCGGCGAGACGCACUAGGCUAGAACCUGCUUAUACAAGAGCUGUGAGAUUCUUGACUUGUGAGAUUACUAAUUGAAUUCAGUUGGCUGGUUGUGAAUUCAGAAUAGUACUGUGUGUUUCAUCCUAUGAGAUUCUUAACUUCUGAGAUUCAGAAAAUUUUGUUCAAUCCAUCUUAAUUCUAGCAGCCGAGAGAGUCUUAACUUGAGUCACACUUCAGAAUCAGUAUUUUUGAGAUUGGUUAAUGUAAAUAUGUAGCAGCGUAUUAUUUUUCAUAUAUCUAAACUGACAUGUGCUUGUCACAGUACAGAGAGCAAAUCUAUUGCUAUGUCAUCUCACGAUCGCACUGGACCCCGAACCCCGUUUCAGGAUAUGAGAAAUAACCAAGGCUUGGACCCUAAGGAGUUAAAGAAGCAGCGGGACAAAGAAUAUUAUGCACGAAAUAGAGAUAAUAUUCUCGCUAUGCACGAAAAUCAUGUGCUGCAGAAUUAUACUCGGAAUAGGAAGCACUCUUGUGGUGUUUGCAACUCUUUCCUACCUGAGGCGCAUGAGAUAUGCACAACUCUGUGUGUCCAAAUAUGUCUCCACAUUCAGAAUUUACAGACGACAGCUACAUAAAACCUACACUCUUAUUUGCAAUGACAAUAUGGAACAUAUUUGUAAUGAGACAUGGACUAAACUUAUGAUUGCAUUAACAAUGAUGUCACACGUAGAAA